ACCCAGACUCCUACGGGAGGCAGCAGUGAGGAAUAUUGGUCAAUGGCCGGAAGGCUGAACCAGCCAAGCCGCGUGAGGGAGGAAGGCGCAGAGCGUCGCAGACCUCUUUUGCCGGGGGACAAAAGGCCGGACUCGUCCGGUCCUGAGGGUACCCGGAGAAAAAGCAUCGGCUAACUCCGUGCCAGCAGCCGCGGUAAUACGGAGGAUGCGAGCGUUAUCCGGAUUUAUUGGGUUUAAAGGGUGCGCAGGCGGGCUGUUAAGCCGGCGGUAAAAAUUCAGGGCUCAACCCUGUCGAGCCGUCGGAACUGGCAGUCUUGAGUGGGCGAGAAGUAUGCGGAAUGCGUGGUGUAGCGGUGAAAUGCAUAGAUAUCACGCAGAACGCCGAUUGCGAAGGCAGCAUACCGGCGCCCAACUGACGCUGAGGCACGAAAGCGUGGGGAUCGAACAGGAUUAGAUACCCCGGUA
rnacentral:rRNA from 1 species